rnacentral:rRNA from 1 species
UGGGGAAUAUUGCACAAUGGGCGCAAGCCUGAUGCAGCCAUGCCGCGUGUAUGAAGAAGGCCUUCGGGUUGUAAAGUACUUUCAGCGGGGAGGAAGGUGUUGUGGUUAAUAACCUCAGCAAUUGACGUUACCCGCAGAAGAAGCACCGGCUAACUCCGUGCCAGCAGCCGCGGUAAUACGGAGGGUGCAAGCGUUCAUCGGAAUUACUGGGCGUAAAGCGCACGCAGGCGGUCUGUCAAGUCGGAUGUGAAAUCCCCGGGCUCAACCUGGGAACUGCAUCCGAAACUGGCAGGCUUGAGUCUUGUAGAGGGGGGUAGAAUUCCAGGUGUAGCGGUGAAAUGCGUAGAGAUCUGGAGGAAUACCGGUGGCGAAGGCGGCCCCCUGGACAAAGACUGACGCUCAGGUGCGAAAGCGUGGGGAGCAAACA